rnacentral:misc_RNA from 1 species
CCAUCCAGACCGUGACGUCCUGACGGCUGACCUUCUUCCUCACAAUUAUAGAUAGAGUUGUGUUUCCUGGGUCCUCCUUUCUGCCAGCUCGCUGAUGGAGAGAAGUGACCAGAGAAGGCUUGGGGAGAGGGAGAGGGAAGAGACACAGCGAGAUGAAACAAAAGAAGAAAUAUACGAGAGGUUUCCAGGCUUGUUAUCCUGGUGGGCUCUGACAUGGCUACCUUUGGCCGGCCUCCGCCAGGGUUCAUGCAGGACUGGCCAUAGUGUGUUCUGCCAGGAGCAAUGCUGCACUGGAGGGGUCAGACCGGGCAACAGCUUGAGUGAGCAGCAGCAGCAACAACUGCAGGAGCAACUGCAACUGCAGCAGCAACAGCAACAGCAGCAACAGCAGCAGCAGCAGCAGCAGCAGCAGCAGCAGCAGCAGCAGUCUGUCUCAGAUGUAGGGAGGUGCAGUGAGGGUGGCAAGAUUGACCUGGAGGCAGGUAUCUCUUUUUACAGAGAAGAGAAGAAGUUUGGGUGUAAGCAGUGCGAUAAAACUUUCAGAUCCAAAGAAGGGCUUAGGCGACACACUGUGACACACAGUGGUGUUUCAAAUUAUGAGUGUCUGGAAUGUGGAAAAACAUUUACUCAGAAGAGUAAUCUUGACACACACACUCUGACACACAGUGGUGUUAGAAAUUUUCAGUGUUUGGAAUGUGAAAAGAAAUUUUUCACAAAGUCUGAUCUCAACAAGCAUGCCCUGACACACAGUGGUGUUAGAAAUUAUGAGUGCUUGGAAUGUGGAAAGAAAUUUUCCAGAAAGGGUGAUCUCACCAAACACAUCCAGACGCACAAUGUUGAUAGAAAUUUUGAGUGUCCAGAAUGUGGAAAGAAAUUUAUCACAAAAGCUUGUCUCACUACACAUGCUGUGACACACAGUGGUGUUAGAAAUCAUGAGUGUCAGGAAUGUGGAAAAAAAUUUACCACAAAGGUGCACCUCGCCAGGCACUCAUUGACACACAGUGGUAUUAGAAAUCAUGAGUGUCAGGUAUGUGGAAAGAAAUUUACCACAAAGUGUCACCUCACCACACACACCCUGACACACAGUGACGUUAGAAAUUAUGAGUGUGAAGAGUGUGGUAAAAGAUUUACUACCCGUUCUGAGCUCAAUAGACACGCUGUCAGACACACUGGCUUGAGGGAGUUCAAGUGUGAUGUUUGUGGGAAGUUUUUCAAGACAAAGGGUGACGUUACAGGCCACAUGAAGAUCCACUUUUGAGGUGGCAUCUGUGGACCAGUGGGGCCACACUCAGGACUAGAAGUGUGUGGCAGUGGUGGUGGUGCUGGUGAGUCUUGUGUAAUGUCCUUUUUUAUUUAUUUAUUUAUUUAUUCUGUUUUAGUUUUUUAAUGUAGGAAAGGCUUCAACAAGGGCAACAAAAUUGCAAUGUUGAAUAAAACACUGUGAAGUCCCAGGCACUUACUGAGUUAAAAGCAUCAGCCAUAGCAGAAUACAAGUGUCUUCAAACGUCCCUCUUGAAUGAGUUCAAAAUAUGGGAAGGUGGAAACACAAAAGUAGGCAGGAAGUGCCAGAGUGUACAUCCAUUAUAGCGGUUAAAUCUUGCAUUAGAGAGGCAGACAGAGUAGUGGUGAGUGGCAUAGUGAGGCUGGGGGAGGAGGGGAGGCAUGCAGUUAGCAAGAUCAGAGGAGCAGGUGGCAUGAAAAUAGUGGUAGAUGAUAGCAAGAGAUGGAAUAUUACAGCAUUGAGGAAGGCUGAGGACUCAGAGCUGAUACAGUGAAAAGCUUUUGAUUCUUCCCUCUCUGAAAGUGCCAUUUGAGUGAAGCACCCUUAUAGACACGAGGCACACCCAACACAUGGACGGGUGUGGCCCCAGGACAGUGGUAGCAGUUGGAGGGUGUGAGAAAUUUGGCAAAGACAACUAAGAACACCUGACUGUUUGGUGGCAGCAGUGUCCUUGUGUGUGUGUGUGUGUGUGUGUGUGUGUGUGUGUGACAUGAAUACACUCAACCCUUUUUAAUUUGGACCAUGUUUAUCUGGACUUCAAUUUAUCCGGAAAAUCCAACAAAUGAAUUUAAUCAAUACACGCCUCACAUACCGCCAGGAACAGCCAAUGGACAGCGGCAGGCAGUUCUAAACAAGUCCGGCCAAUACAUGUGAACUCAGCGCUCUGUCUGGAUUCAGUGAACAAUCUCCCACCACACUUGAGGUUUUGUAUCGCUGCACACUGGAGCUUUACCGCCUACCUGCAAAGAAACACAAGAAAAGACAUUGCUUGCAGGUGAAGCAUGAUACAAGAUGUGCUUUAUUUACAACUGCCCUCCAAACAGACACUUGUUAAAAAGCCAUCCCAACCAUCACAUCAGCCACAACACUGGUGACUGAUGUAUUUACAGGCCACAUUACAUAACUGUUUGUUUUGUGUUAUGACUGUGAAACUAAUUUUAAUCUUGACUUAUGUACAGGAAAUGCAAGCUGGUACUUCCCUUCAUGUUUAAGAAAGUGGCAGAACAAAUAAAGUGUAU